rnacentral:rRNA from 1 species
AGACCCGAAACCCGGUGAUCUAGCCAUGGGCAGGUUGAAGGUUGGGUAACACUAACUGGAGGACCGAACCGACUAAUGUUGAAAAAUUAGCGGAUGACCUGUGGCUGGGGGUGAAAGGCCAAUCAAACCGGGAGAUAGCUGGUUCUCCCCGAAAGCUAUUUAGGUAGCGCCUCGUGAAUUCAUCUCCGGGGGUAGAGCACUGUUUCGGCUAGGGGGCCAUCCCGGCUUACCAACCCGAUGCAAACUGCGAAUACCGGAGAAUGUUAUCACGGGAGACACACGGCGGGUGCUAACGUCCGUCGUGAAGAGGGAAACAACCCAGACCGCCAGCUAAGGUCCCAAAGUCAUGGUUAAGUGGGAAACGAUGUGGGAAGGCCCAGACAGCCAGGAUGUUGGCUUAGAAGCAGCCAUCAUUUAAAGAAAGCGUAAUAGCUCACUGGUCGAGUCGGCCUGCGCGGAAGAUGUAACGGGGCUAAACCAUGCACCGAAGCUGCGGCAGCGACACUCAGGUGUUGUUGGGUAGGGGAGCGUUCUGUAAGCCUGUGAAGGUGUGUCGUGAGGCAUGCUGGAGGUAUCAGAAGUGCGAAUGCUGACAUAAGUAACGAUAAAGCGGGUGAAAAGCCCGCUCGCCGGAAGACCAAGGGUUCCUGUCCAACGUUAAUCGGGGCAGGGUGAGUCGACCCCUAAGGCGAGGCCGAAAGGCGUAGUCGAUGGGAA